AAGUAUGCUUUUAUCGUGUUUGAGAUGGCCCCUCCCUGAAAAUGCAUUCAUUUGCCCCAUCUAGCGGCAUAUAUAACGAAAACGUCAUAAAUCACUUCCGUUAAAUGAGUGAUCCGCAACUGGAACAUCAACCGUACCCUGUUUGAAGGAUUAAGGCAGCUUGUAAAAAGCAUUAGCUUGUUUGCAGGAGCUGUUUAUGUUGCAAGGGAAAUGGCUGCUUUUGAUGCCUCAAUAGACGUUCCAAGUCCAUAGCCCAUAGCCGGUAUAUCUUUGUGCUUAGAUUUACAGAUAGCUGACUGCAUUUCAGAAGAAACUUUGUGCUCUGUAGUCAUGUCCUUCAAGAUGAUCGGUCUUCAAGAUUGCUUUGUACACAUACAUACAGACCAAGUCCUCGUGUUUUUGUAUAUUUGUUGUGAACAUUAUCUGUCAUAGAUUAAUGUGUAUGAUGGAAUAAAUGAUAUCCUUAAAUA